GGUCUACUUCUGCAUAGGAUACAUCAUAUUCCGAAACCAGGUCACUAACUGCACUUUUCACAUACUCUACAUUUCGACGAUAAGCAUUGCAUUUUUCUCUAUAGUCUAUACAUCCACAUGAUUACUAUUCAGCCUGAAAUGCGCAAAGUACAUCGCCUUUCAACUCUUGUUACUCCUUCCACAUGUAACUUUGCCGGACCAUUAUCUAAUAUUCGCUUCCGUUUACGAGAAAUUGGUGACUGCGUACCGCGAUCCAGCGAUGAUUCCAGUCCAGUACGCCAGGAACAACGACAGGACUACUUCUCCUCUUCUUCAAUCACAAGUUUGAAACAGGUAACUAUACAAGAAUGUUCUAACGUGUA
rnacentral:lncRNA from 1 species